rnacentral:rRNA from 1 species
AGAGUUUGAUCCUGGCUCAGGAUGAACGCUAGCGAUAGGCUUAACACAUGCAAGUCGAGGGGCAGCGAGCGAGAUAGCAAUAUCUUGUGUCGGCGACCGGCGCACUGGUGAGUAACACGUAUGCAACCUGCCCUCUACAGGGGGAUAAUCCGGAGAAAUUCGGUCUAAUAUCCCAUAGUCCCUGAGUUUGCAUGAGCUUAGGGGGAAAGUUCCGGCGGUAGAGGAUGGGCAUGCGGCGCAUUAGCUGGUUGGCGGGGUAACGGCCCACCAAGGCGACGAUGCGUAGGGGUUCUGAGAGGAAGGUCCCCCACACUGGUACUGAGACACGGACCAGACUCCUACGGGAGGCAGCAGUGAGGAAUAUUGGUCAAUGGGCGCGAGCCUGAACCAGCCAAGUCGCGUGAGGGAUGACGGUCCUACGGAUUGUAAACCUCUUUAGGCGGGGAGUAAUGUGCUCUACGAGUAGAGUAGUGAGAGUACCCGCAGAAUAAGCAUCGGCUAACUCCGUGCCAGCAGCCGCGGUAAUACGGAGGAUGCGAGCGUUAUCCGGAUUUAUUGGGUUUAAAGGGUGCGCAGGCUGUGCAUCAAGUCAGCGGUAAAAUCUCGGGGCUCAACCCCGUUUAGCCGUUGAAACUGGUGUGCUGGAGUGUGCGCGAGGAAGGCGGAAUGCGCGGUGUAGCGGUGAAAUGCAUAGAUAUUGCGCAGAACUCCGAUUGCGAAGGCAGCCUUCCAGUGCAUGACUGACGCUGAGGCACGAAAGCGUGGGUAUCGAACAGGAUUAGAUACCCUGGUAGUCCACGCAGUAAACGAUGAAUACUAUCUUUCCGUCGCAAUUGAGCGGGGGGAGGACAAGCGAAAGCGUUAAGUAUUCCACCUGGGGAGUACGCCGGCAACGGUGAAACUCAAAGGAAUUGACGGGGGCCCGCACAAGCGGAGGAACAUGUGGUUUAAUUCGAUGAUACGCGAGGACCCGGGCUCAAACGCUGGUAGAUCGGUGUGGAAACACGCCUUCCCUUCGGGGCUGUCAGCGAGGUGCUGCAUGGUUGUCGUCAGCUCGUGCCGUGAGGUGUCGGCUUAAGUGCCAUAACGAGCGCAACCCCCAUCUCCAGUUGCCAUCGGUUAAAGCCGGGCACUCUGGAGAGACUGCCGGCGCAAGCCGUGAGGAGGGCGGGGAUGACGUCAAAUCAGCACGGCCCUUACGUCCGGGGCGACACACGUGUUACAAUGGCGGAGUUACAGCGGGAAGCCAGGCGGCGACGUCGAGCUGAUCCCGAAAAUCCGUCUCAGUUCGGAUCGGAGUCUGCAACCCGACUCCGUGAAGCUGGAUUCGCUAGUAAUCGCGCAUCAGCCAUGGCGCGGUGAAUACGUUCCCGGGCCUUGUACACACCGCCCGUCAAGCCAUGGAAGCUUGGAGUGCCUGAAGUUCGUGACCGCAAGGAGCGACCAAGGGUAAGACAGGUGACUGGGGCUAAGUCGUAACAAGGUAGCCGU